rnacentral:rRNA from 1 species
AACGAACGCUGGCGGCAGGCCUAACACAUGCAAGUCGAGCGGACCCUUCGGGGUUAGCGGCGGACGGGUGAGUAACGCGUGGGAAUAUGCCCUUCUCUACGGAAUAGUCCUGGGAAACUGGGGGUAAUACCGUAUACGCCCUCUGGGGGAAAGAUUUAUCGGGGAAGGAUUAGCCCGCGUUGGAUUAGGUAGUUGGUGGGGUAAUGGCCUACCAAGCCGACGAUCCAUAGCUGGUUUGAGAGGAUGAUCAGCCACACUGGGACUGAGACACGGCCCAGACUCCUACGGGAGGAAGCAGUGGGGAAUCUUAGACAAUGGGGGCAACCCUGAUCUAGCCAUGCCGCGUGAGUGAUGAAGGCCUUAGGGUUGUAAAGCUCUUUAAGCUGGGAAGAUAAUGACGGUACCAGCAGAAGAAGCCCCGGCUAACUCCGUG